AUUGAACGCUGGCGGAAGGCCUAACACAUGCAAGUAGAACGAGUGGCUGACGGGUGAGUAAUGUCUGGGAAAAUGCCUGAUGGAGGGGGAUAAAUACUGGAAACGGUAGCUAAUACCGCAUAAAAUCAGAUGUGACCAGAUGGUAGUAGCUAGUAGGUGGGUUAAUGGCUCACCUAGGCGACGAUCCCUAGCUGGUCUGAUAGGAGGACAUGCCACACUGGAACGUAGACACGGUCCAGACUCCUACGGGAGGCAGCAGUGGGGAAUAUUGCACAAUGGGCGCAAGCCUGUUGCAGCCAUGCCGCGUGUCGUAAGAAGGCCUUCGGGUUGUAAAGUACUUUCAGCGAGGAGGCGUUACUCGCAGAAGAAGCACCGGCUAACUCCGUGCCAGCAGCCGCGGUAAUAC
rnacentral:rRNA from 1 species